UUCGGCUAAAGUCAUAUCGCCCUGCAGUUCUUACCUGGUUUCCCACUGAAGCUAAGUAGGGUUGAGCCUGGCCAGUACCUGGAUGGGAGACCUCCUUGGGAAAACUAAGGUUGCUGCUGCAA
ensembl:rRNA 5S_rRNA 5S ribosomal RNA